rnacentral:sRNA from 2 species
CCCUAGCCCUGAUAGAAACGGCAUCCUUUUAUGGCGGGGUUCGACAUAAAAGAUAGAGUGAAUAGCAGGAAAUAGC